UACGUAGGCAGCGAGCGUUGUUCGGAGUUACUGGGCGGAAAGAGUGCGUAGGCGGUUUUCUAAGUUUGGUGUGAAAUCUCCCGGCUCAACUGGGAGGGUGCGCCGAAGACUGGAAGGCUUGAGUAUGGGAGAGGUAAGCGGAAUUCCUGGUGUAGCGGUGAAAUGCGUAGAUAUCAGGAGGAACACCUGCGGUGUAGACGGCUUACUGGACCAUAACUGACGCUGAGGCACGAAAGCGUGGGUAGCAAACAGG
rnacentral:rRNA from 1 species